rnacentral:rRNA from 1 species
UACGGGAGGCAGCAGUGAGGAAUCUUCCACAAUGGGCGAAAGCCUGAUGGAGCAACGCCGCGUGCAGGAUGAAGGCCCUCGGGUCGUAAACUGCUUUAUGAGUGAAGAACAUGACGG